CUGACGCAGCAACGCCGCGUGACCGAUGAAGCUUCUAGGAGUGUAAAGGUCUGUCGUGAGGGAAGAAAAAUCCGGAUGUAAAUAAUGUUCGGACGUGACGGUACCUCACAAGAAAGCACCGGCUAACUUAGUGCCAGCAGCCGCGGUAAUACUAGGGGUGCUAGCGUUGUCCGGAAUCACUGGGCGUAAAGGGUCCGUAGGCGUUUUGCUAAGUUGAUUGUUAAAUCCAUCGGCUCAACCGAUGAUCUGCAAUCAAAACUGGUAGAAUAGAGUUCGAGAGAGGAAAGUGGAAUUCCUGGUGUAGCGGUGACAUGCGUAGAUAUCAGGAGGAACACCAAUGGCGAAGGCAGCUUUCUGGCUCGAUACUGACGCUGAGGGACGAAAGCGUGGGGAGCGAACAGGAUUAGAUACCCUGGUAGUCCACGCCGUAAACGAUGAGUACUUGAUGAUGGAGGAUUCGACCCCUUCGUUGUCGUAGCUAACGCGAUAAGUACUCCGCCUGGGGACUACGACCGCAAGGUUG
rnacentral:rRNA from 1 species